GGGCGAGAGCCUGAUCCAGCCAUGCCGCGUGCAGGAAGACUGCCCUAUGGGUUGUAAACUGCUUUUAUAUGGGAAGAAACACUCUCACGUGUGAGAGCUUGACGGUACCAUAAGAAUAAGGACCGGCUAACUCCGUGCCAGCAGCCGCGGUAAUACGGAGGGUCCGAGCGUUAUCCGGAAUCAUUGGGUUUAAAGGGUCCGUAGGCGGGCAGCUAAGUCAGWGGUGAAAGUCUGUGGCUCAACCAUAGAAUUGCCAUUGAUACUGGUUGUCUUGAAUUAUUGUGAAGUGGUUAGAAUAAGUAGUGUAGCGGUGAAAUGCAUAGAGAUUACUUAGAAUACCGAUUGCGAAGGCAGAUCACUAACAAUACAUUGACGCUGAGGGACGAAAGCGUGGGGAGCGAACAGGAUUAGAUACCCUGGUAGUCCACGCCGUAAACGAUGGAUACUAGCUGUUUGAUCAUUAGAUUAAGUGGCUAAGCGAAAGUGAUAAGUAUCCCACCUGGGGAGUACGUUCGCAAGAGUGAAACUCA
rnacentral:rRNA from 1 species